CAACGACCCAGUAAAAUAUAUACUAACUUUACUUAAAUGUUUAAACUGAGGCUUAGAGAGGCUAAAUAACGUGUCCAAAGUCACACAGCUAAUCAGUGUGAGAGCUGGGAUUCAAAUUCAUGUCUCUCUGCUUCUGGAGCACAAAACACUCCUCCUCCCCAGCACACCUGUCCACGCAGCUGCCUGGGACGCCUGGUGUCUAUAAUACCCUCAGCCUGGGUGCAGCUACCUUUCUGGACCUAGUCGGGAGCAUUGGAACUCCCUAGGGUGAAAGAGCUCGUGCCCACUCCCCUUGCCCACUCUUGUGUCCAGCAGAUUUAAGAUCUCCAAGGUCAUUGUGGUGGGGGACCUGUCGGUGGGGAAGACUUGCCUCAUUAAUAGGUUCUGCAAAGACACCUUUGAUAAGAAUUACAAGGCCACCAUUGGAGUGGACUUCGAGAUGGAACGAUUUGAGGUGCUGGGCAUUCCCUUCAGUUUGCAGCUGUGAGUGCUUCCACACCCCUUCCAGCUAUCCCUUCUCCCCAGCACCCACACCCCCCAAGAUACAUACCUGUGCUUCACUCUUCCUUCCUUCCAGUUGGGAUACCGCUGGACAGGAGAGGUUCAAAUGCAUUGCGUCAACCUACUAUAGAGGAGCUCAAGCCAUCAUCAUUGUCUUCAACCUGAAUGAUGUGGCAUCUCUGGAACAUACCAAGUAAGUGAGCAUCCUGC
rnacentral:sRNA from 1 species